AGUUGUCUUUGGAAUUCCAUGGUUCUUCACCUGACAGUUUAACAUUAAAUUUUUUGUUAGAACUAGCUAGAUUAUUUUCAUACAUAACAGAAUAUUAUAUACCAAGCUACAACUACAGCUUAAAUAAAGAAAAAAAUUAGCAGCUAGAACCGCAGGUCGCUGGAGAGACAAAGCUGUUGGGAAAGGUCACCAAAAACACUGCAAACAACGUAUUUCUCUACCCUGGAGAAUUCAUAUAAUAGAAGCUAGAUUUCCUGGUGUGAUUCGUUUUCUUUUUCUUCUUUUCUCAUUUUCUGGGCACGCCGCUAAUGAUUUUCUUCAAUUUGAUGUGCUUCUCACGGUGCUAGAUCUAAUUUUUAAUGCAAUGAAUCCAUUU